rnacentral:rRNA from 1 species
UACGUAGGGGGCAAGCGUUGUCCGGAAUUACUGGGCGUAAAGAGCACGUAGGCGGUUCGUUAAGUCGGUUGUGAAAUCACCCGGCCCAACUGGGUGGGGUCAGCCGAUACUGGCGGGCUUGAGGGAGGCAGAGGGAAGCGGAAUUCCCGGAGUAGUGGUGAAAUGCGUAGAUACCGGGAGGAACACCAGUGGCGAAGGCGGCUUCCUGGGCUUCAUCUGACGCUGAGGUGCGAAGGCGUGGGGAGCGAACCGG